UAUUACGCCGUAGGAGAUGACGCGGUCAUGACGUGGUUGCAAGCGUUAAUCGUAGUGACGGGUGGUAAGGCGCACGUAGGCAGUGUUGAUAGGCAGAUGUGAAAGCCGCGGGCUUAACCUGGGAACUGGAGCUGAUACGGGAAGACUAGAAUGUGGGAGAGGAGAGGGGAAUUUCCGGUGUAGCGGUGAAAUGCAUAGAGAUCGGAAGGAACACCAGUGGCGAAGGCGGCUCUCUGGACCAACAUUGACGCUGAGGUGCAAAAGCGUGGGUAGCAAACAGGAUUAGAUACCCGAGUAGUC
rnacentral:rRNA from 1 species